rnacentral:lncRNA from 1 species
UCUUUACAUUCCUAUUUCAUUUUGGAAUUCCAUUAUCCACUUUGUUUUCUUUUUCUUAAUUCAAUUGAGCAUUAGAUUAUUUUGUUUUCUUUUUACAAAAUUUGUCAAAUUCUCUUUGCAAUUUUUCCUAUCCAUUUCCACUUCCUUUUUCAUAUAAUUUCUAUCAUUUCCAUAACCUUCAAGCAUGAUUAAAUUCAUGCCACACUAAACCCCUUUCAGCUUUAAGCCGAAGUUAACCCCGUCAAAAUACCCGUGAGUUACGAACCCGAGCUAUUUAACUCCCAACUUUCGAUAUUUAUUAUUUCUCCGGAUUAAGAGUAUGACUUCGUCAACUCACAAAGUCUAGACAACACUAAGUCAAAAAAGACAUCGUUUGAGUUUGUGUGGCUAGACGUACAGUUGGAAUUCCGAAAGGAUCGAUUGUCUAAUUGGUCUUCCGUGAACAAAUUGGCGUGCCAAGUGGGGACUGCUGUUUGGUUCCGUCAAGAGAAGUAGUAACCGGAUUUAAAUGUCCCAACGUUUGAGGGCAUUGGUUCAAGCUAGGCUCUUCUAGAACGCAAAGCUGCCGGAGUUCUAAAUCACGAAUGUUUCGUAGGUUGUUCGAUCAGUAAGGGUUAGUUAUAGGACGUUCCAUAACUAAUUUACACAAGGAAGAGUUGGUGUCCGAGGCGUCCUUGGUAGCUAUAACUAGCUUAUCGGAAAAGAGGAGUUCACCUAAUUUCAAGGAUCGGGUCAAAGACGGAAAAACCCGUGCUUAAGGCUGAGCUAAGUUUUAUUGAUUUUCCUUUAAAUUAUUUUGUUAUUUAUUUUUAUUUCAUCUUUUUAUUUUUAUUUCAUCUUUAACUUUUUACUUUUUACGUUUCCUUGUGUUUAUUUCAGGUUUCAUAUUUUAUUUCCCCCCCCAGGCACGACAACUGCCCAGACACUAAUCUGGUCAAGAAACAAACAAUUUUCAGUAAUUCCAGUCUCUGUGGGAUCGACCCUACUCCCUAUACUGCUUUAAUUUGCAAACUAGGUGUAGGUUUAUAUUGGUGGAAUCGACAGCCAUCAGUCCGUAAAUUUUGCGCCAUUACACGGUAAAUUUAAAGAAUUAAGAUGCUUGAUGCCUUACGUUUAAAUCCCAUCAUUUGCAUAUUUUCAAAUUUUGUCAACUUAACAUGUUUAUUUUUUGUCAAUCAUAUACAACACUAUAUAAGAAUAGACUAAUCAACGUGCCAAAUUAGCAAAUUUUGAUGGAAAUUACUAACAAUGUCAAAAUUUGCAUGCAUGGCUCGAGUGCAUGUGCUGCUCCUUGGCUGCAUGUGCUGCAUGGAAGCCAACUUCAACAAACUGCAAGGUGGAUUCUACAAAAGCACGAGAGGAUGGUGGCGAUGAAAAGGAUGAUUAAGCUCCAAAGGUGCCUCGGCACAUGUCUUGUGGAGGUAAAAUCCACAGCAGUCCACAACUAAAUCAUGGAGCUGACACCUUCUCCCCACACCUUGAGCAAUCAACAACUCCAUUGCCAUUGUCAAUCAACUGCUUUUCAUUUAACAUCAACAGUGGAUGUUAAUGCCCAUAGUUCUUUAGCUCUUCCAUUUCUCCUUCCUCUGUGUCUCUUUCAAUGUGGUAGAGAAAAAUAAAUUGAAACAGAAGAACUAAAAGAAAGCAGAAAAUUAGAAGGGAAAGAUUCCAAAUGUUUAUUUGUAUGGGUCUCUUUUAACUUGCUAUGGUACUUUGCUUUUGCCUAUAUAUUUUUCUUCUUUAUAAUUACUAUGAAUGGGAUUCUAAGUAAGAGAAUACUAGUUAAAAC